ACCACGCAGUUCGUCGGAAUCUUCCUGGAAAUUGAUUUCAAAGUCGACUGGUUUUGUAACUUUUGAUCAGUGUUUCGUCUUGCUGUAUCUGCUGGAGAGAAGCGCAUGUAACUUUCGGCACAUAGCUUCGAUUGGAACAAUAUUGGACUAUAUGGAGAGCUGUCUGUCUGGGCAAUCUGUGGAUAUGUUUCCCGUCUCUUGGUUCGUCGUACAAUGUCGGAAAAUUGCUCACGAAGUUGGUCGUUUGUUUAAGUGGUGUCAAUCUGAAUUGUCUUGGAAAAACGA